UUUAACCUACAUUUUUGCAGAAGUUUGUAGUGUUUAUUUGAUAUUUUAUUGUAUUUUUUAUUUAAAUAAAGAAUGAAAUUUUUAAUUGCUGAGCAUAGUGUGAUUCGAUUGGGUUAGUUACCAUUUAAAAUGCUAAGAACAGUUUCUAUUGUUGGAAGAAAAGUGUCUAUAUUUAUCAAGUAUUUAUCUAAUGUGAAAUAACAAAUUCAUUAAAAGAUAUGUUUGAAUUCUUAUGAUUUCCACUGUUGAAAUGGCAAAACAAUAUAUUUCUAGGAAAUAUCGGAAAUAUCGAAAACGGGAUAUUUUCUAGUGAAAGAAAUACAUUUAAAAAGUGAGUGCAUAUUAAGCUAAGGAGAAAUUUUGUAUAAGAAGUUGUUCCAUAUACAGGACAUGCAGAACAUCAAAAUCCAAUUAAAUUAGUAAAGAGCUGAGGGUAUCUAUACUAUAAAAUUUAUAGUUUUGUCUAUUUUUAUCACCAAAAUA